GACGAACCGUGCGAACGUUAUUCGGAAUCACUGGGCCUAAAGCGCGUGUAGGCGGCAGGGCACGUCCGUUGCUGAAAUCCCCCGGCUCAACCGGGGAACGGGCGCGGAUACGACUCUUCUGGAGGGGCGUAGGGGGACCUGGAACUUCCGGUGGAGCGGUGAAAUGCGUUGAGAUCGGAAGGAACGCCCGUGGCGAAAGCGAGGUCCUGGACGCCUACUGACGCUGAGACGCGAAAGCCAGGGGAGCGAACGGG
rnacentral:rRNA from 1 species